rnacentral:sRNA from 1 species
AUUGAAGAAAUGAGGAGUUAGCAUGAAUACAAAAUAUUUUUUAGCAGUUGGUGCU